rnacentral:rRNA from 1 species
UCCGUAGGGUGACCUGCGGAGGGAUCAUUACACAAAUAUGAAGGCGGGCUGGAACCUCUCGGGGUUACAGCCUUGCUGAAUUAUUCACCCUUGUCUUUUGCGUACUUCUUGUUUCCUUGGUGGGUUCGCCCACCACUAGGACAAACAUAAACCUUUUGUAAUUGCAAUCAGCGUCAGUAACAAAUUAAUAAUUACAACUUUCAACAACGGAUCUCUUGGUUCUGGCAUCGAUGAAGAACGCAGCGAAAUGCGAUAAGUAGUGUGAAUUGCAGAAUUCAGUGAAUCAUCGAAUCUUUGAACGCACAUUGCGCCCUUUGGUAUUCCAAAGGGCAUGCCUGUUCGAGCGUCAUUUGUACCCUCAAGCUUUGCUUGGUGUUGGGCGUCUUGUCUCUAGCUUUGCUGGAGACUCGCCUUAAAGUAAUUGGCAGCCGGCCUACUGGUUUCGGAGCGCAGCACAAGUCGCACUCUCUAUCAGCAAAGGUCUAGCAUCCAUUAAGCCUUUUUUUCAACUUUUGACCUCGGAUCAGGUAGGGAUACCCGCUGAACUUAAGCAUAUCAUA